UACGGAGGGUGCAAGUGUUAUCCGGAAUCACUGGGCGUAAAGCGUCUGUAGGUGGUUUAAUAAGUCAACUGUUAAAUCUUGAGGCUCAACCUCAAAAUCGCAGUCGAAACUAUUAGGCUAGAGUAUAGUAGGGGUAAAGGGAAUUUCCAGUGGAGCGGUGAAAUGCGUAGAGAUUGGAAAGAACACCGAUGGCGAAGGCACUUUACUGGGCUAUUACUAACACUCAGAGACGAAAGCUAGGGUAGCAAUGGG
rnacentral:rRNA from 1 species